rnacentral:rRNA from 1 species
UACGGGGGGAGCAAGCGUUGUUCGGAUUUACUGGGCGUAAAGGGCGCGUAGGCGGCGCGACAAGUCACUUGUGAAAUCUCCGGGCUCAACCUGGGAACUGCAUUUGUGACUGCAUCGCUGGAGUGCGGCAGAGGGGGAUGGAAUUCCGCGUGUAGCAGUGAAAUGCGUAGAUAUGCGGAGGAACACCGAUGGCGAAGGCAAUCCCCUGGGCCUGCACUGACGCUCAUGCACGAAAGCGUGGGGAGCAAACAGG